UUGCGCCUGCUGAAGGACGCAGCAUCGCCCGUAACAAUGCCUUGCAGGCGGCAGGACGAUGUACCCGUCCCGUGAUCAGCAAUUUUGCUGAUUCAAAAUCUUUC
rnacentral:sRNA from 1 species